AACGAACGCUGGCGGCAUGCCUAACACAUGCAAGUCGAACGAGAUCUUCGGGUCUAGUGGCGCACGGGUGCGUAACGCGUGGGAAUCUGCCCUUUGGUUCGGAAUAACAGUUGGAAACGACUGCUAAUACCGGAUGAUGACGAAAGUCCAAAGAUUUAUCGCCAGAGGAUGAGCCCGCGUAGGAUUAGCUAGUUGGUGUGGUAAAGGCGCACCAAGGCGACGAUCCUUAGCUGGCCUGAGAGGAUGAUCAGCCACACUGGGACUGAGACACGGCCCAGACCCCUACGGGAGGCAGCAGUGGGGAAUAUUGGACAAUGGGCGAAAGCCUGAUCCAGCAAUGCCGCGUGAGUGAUGAAGGCCUUAGGGUUGUAAAGCUCUUUUACCCGGGAUGAUAAUGACAGUACCGGGAGAAUAAGCUCCGGCUAACUCCGUGCCAGCCGCCGCAGUAA
rnacentral:rRNA from 1 species